rnacentral:lncRNA from 10 species
GGACUUGGCGACCGAUUAGAUGAGAGUGGGAGGAGAAAAGGUUUGAAAAUAACUCCAAGGUUUUUAGCUCAAAUAUCUAACUGGAUUGUGAUGCCAAAACAGAGACUAUAGAAAAAGGAGCAGAUUCUGCUUUAGAUAUGGUGAUUUCUAAAUGUUUACUGAAAUUGAUAGCAGUUUAUCUCAGGUAUUUUUUGCGUCUCAUCUCAUGGGCAUUCAAGGGGAGGAAUGCAAGACCAGAUGUUUGAUCAGUAACUGACAGGGUUUCCCUUUGCCCACUGCUUCCCUGGGUCAUCAGGAGUAGACAGAGGUGGACCUCAGCCCACCUGGCACGUGUGUUAUCCCCGAUAGCCACGGCCCUUCAAGGUGGCUUGCUGAGAAUGCACUGUGUAGGGGUCAGAACCUUGUUGGGACUGGAGGCCUUCACUUCCUGGCAGACAUGCUGCUGUGUGCAGAAGAAGCUGCCCAGUUUGAGAUGGCAGAAGAGCACCACAGGCACAGCCAGCUGCUGCUGCACAGGUUCUGGAACCUCUGGCGGUCUCAGAUUGAGCAGAAAAAGGAAAGAGAGCUGCUCCCCUUACUGCAUGCUGCCUGGGACCACUACAGAAUAGCACUGCUGUGCAAAUGUAUCGAAUUGUGGCUACAGUAUACUCAGAAGAGGCGGU